CUGAUCUGGGGACCACACUUUGAGAACAAGAAUCGGUGGUUCCCAAGCUUCCACGUGCAUAUGAAUCGCUGAUGAACUUGCUAAGAUGUAGAUUCUUAUUUAGCAGGUCCACUGGGGAGCCUGAGAUUCUGCAUUUCCACCAAACUUGCAGGUGUGCCAAUGUUGCUGGAGCUGGACACAGACUACUCUUUGAGUACCAAGAUGCCAGAGCAGCGGUCAGCCCUAGCUGGUCAUGAGGAUCUAUACUGAGGACCAGCAGCACUUGUACUUGGUGCUCUAGAGCUUGACCAAGUGAAAUGCACAUCCUUGCUCCCUGGGAGAGUUUACCGCCAAAGAUCACGAGCAUGUCAGAUGAGUAACACAUCUCCUCGUAAAUGUCGUACACCAUUCUUUGGUGCAGUGAUGAUUUUUGAGCCGUUAGAGUUACUGGCUAAGGGGAAUGUUGAAUGGUUGGCAACGAGGAACUGAAGACAGAGAUGUGACUUAGGCAAAAUCCCUUCUCUACCUGUGACUUUGGACAAGGGGCCCAUGAUCAGAGGAGUCCUGGCUAAGUGUCCUAACUAAUUCCCUGUGCUGGACACUGGGGGCCCCACAGAUGAGUAAGGCCCUCCCUGGCACCUGAAGGACUUCUCACUGAGCCCAGGAAGUACAGCCCCGGGACCCAUCGCUGUGGACAGCCGAAUCCUCCAAACAUCCCUCAAACAUCUCAGUGUCUGAGAAAAGGGAGUCACUGGAUCCGAGAGGGCACCUCCUCGGGGUGAUGUGUUUUGUUUGCAUAAACACGUAAGCUGAGCAUGAGGAACCGAGGAGGCCAGGACAAGCCGUGGUAGCAGCUCACCAGCUGGCACAGGCUGAACAACAAACAAAAGCUGACACGCUUGCUUGCCAUGUGCAUGAGUGAUUUCCAGGGCCUUCCAUGAUGAAGAGGGGGACAGCUGCUGGCAAUGUGCCUGUGCUUACUAGGCUCCUCUGUGCCAGUCCUGGAGGAGAGAGCUCUGAGCCCAAAGGUCAUGAGAAAGAGCACUGCCUGACUGCAUUCAAGGCCAGUCCCUGGGAUGGAAAGCACGUGACUGCCCUCCUGAGCAGGGCCCACUAAAUCCUGGUGAUCCACUCUCCUGUUUGCGCAGGCGUGGACUUCUUUUGGAUGUGUCUCACUGUCACUGUGAAGCUUAGGUAUGUGAGGAAACAGAACUACUGAGGGCGAGGCCAUCACUGUCAGAGGGAGCAGGGGGGAAUCUCCCCUGGAUGGAGAAGCGUGCCUGAUUUCUGAGGGCUGGGUUCCAAGUAUGUUUCUCAGAUUGCGAACGCAAACUGAGAAAAAUGAAAAGGUAUUUGGAUUCAAGAGAGAAAAGGGGAAGAGAAAAGACUGAGGUGGAACCUCUUUGUGCUUUAGGAAGCCAUGUGAAAUGAAACAGAACUCAGUGGCCCAGGAGGUUAAAGACGGAAGCUGAAGUUCCCAGUCAGUGGAUUGAAAUGUCGUGGAGCGAUAUUGGUCUGGCCGGGCAUAAGUGCUGUCCUCUGAUGCAUGUCUGCCUUCGAGGUUCCUGAAGCUUCCUGUCUGCUCCCGAGGAAGCAGCUCUCAUUUGCAUUGACUUCCCACAACUUCCUCCAGAACAAAGUUUGCAGACCCUGGCCUAAGCAGCAUCUGAUCACUCAGCAAUACAAGAACCAGUUGACUAGACAGAAGUGAUGAGUUAAAGAGAACUAAACAGAACUAAACAGUAGAUGCCUUAAUUGCUUAUAACAAAAGCACAAGUGACUGUCAUUACUAUGAUUGGGAUUUCUCCAAGAUGUUAGGAUCAACUAAACGCCAUGAACUCUUUCAUGUACCUGAGUGCUCACUUCUUUACUUUUAUAUCCUCUCCAAAAGACAGAGUCCCUCCAUGCCAGGUUGUUGGCUCAAUAUGGCAGCAGUAAAUCUCUGGUGACACUUCCAGCAGCACAUAAGAAGAGAGUUCUCAGAAAUGACCAAUAAUUGACCCUCCGUGACCUACCCAAGCAUGUGAGGUCUAACAGGC
rnacentral:lncRNA from 1 species